UGGCCGUUAAUAUCUGGGAUACAAACAACUGGUGAGGAUUCAUUGCCCGUGAUAAGACGUAUAAUACGUCCGAUGGAAACAAAUGGGGCUUUCCAUGGAUUACACGGAGCAACCAUUUCUGGAUCACUUCUACUCUUUUCAUGUGGCAUUCGUAUGCUCCGCCCCAGGCAAUAAUUCCAUACUUUAUUAGCGAUUGGCAUAGAGCAUUAUAUAUCUGCAUAAGCUUUUCUAUGUCCAGAUACUUUUUAAGGUGUCUAUCGAUUGUAAUGCCGAGAUACUUGAUGGAGUCAGUUUCGGGUAUUGGUGUGAAGUCGUUGACUUUCAGAGGACCCAAGUUCGGGAGACCUGACUCAUAGGAAGUAAAUGGUUUGGAUCUGCCGCAGAGGUUAUCCACGUAAGACCAAAGGGAUUUUGUUGUUGAAGUGUAUUUCGCGACAAAGGUGUUCAUGUAAUCUCUUUUAGCGUUCCUGAUCAACUUGUGUAAAAUAUUUCUGUAUCUUGUAUAUUGUUGUUUCAACUCGAUAUUAAAAUCAUGUUCCACCAUUUCCUUGUAUAAAUUGUUUUUCCUGUUUAUGGCUUUAAGUAAUCCUUGAGUGAUCCAGUCGCUUUUCCCAGAUUUCCUAUGGCUCAGCCUAAUUUUUGUUGUAUGUUUCUGUGUGUAAUGCCUUAUAAGAUCAAUAAACAAUUCUGCGAAUGAGUCUACAUCUUUAUUCUUCAUCAAAACGUGCCAAUCAAUUCCCUUUAAAUCAUUUCUUAAUUGCUGAUAAUUAAUAUAAGUUUUGUAUCUAAUUACUCUUUCGGGAGUUUUUUCUUUCAGGUUGAGGCAUAAACUAAUUGUAUAGUGAUCAGUGAUUCCCGUACGAACAAUGAACGAUCUACUCUGGUCUACAACAGAUUGUCGACAUCCCAGAAAUAUAUGGUCUAGGCAACUACCACUAGAAGGCCUAGUUAUAUCAUUUAUAUAUGAUUUGUAUCCAAAAAAACUAAAAACAUUCAUGUAUUCAUCAACUAUUUCAUUGUUCGUUAAAAGAUCAAUGUUAAUAUCUCCUACAACUAAAUGAUAAUCCCACAUACUCUUAUUACCUGUUGUUUCAAUGUAGUCCGACAAAUCUCUAUUAAACUUUUUUGGACAUCCUUUUGGUGAACGAUAGAUUCCUGUUAUUUUAAGUUUUUUAUUUUCAAAUACAAGGUCUAAUUCCACCGCUUUAAUUUCUCCAAUACUUAUUACAUUUCCGUUGAACAUCAAAUCGUUCCGGACAUACACCACAACCCCAUCAUUUUUGUUACAAGCUCCA